AGCAGUAGCCGCGGUAAUACGGAGGGUGCAAGCGUUAAUCGGAAUUACUGGGCGUAAAGCGUGCGUAGGUGGUGGUUUAAGUCCGUUGUGAAAGCCCUGGGCUCAACCUGGGAAUUGCAGUGGAUACUGGGUCACUAGAGUGUGGUAGAGGAUAGUGGAAUUUCCGGUGUAGCAGUGAAAUGCGUAGAGAUCGGAAGGAACAUCUGUGGCGAAGGCGACUAUCUGGGCCAACACUGACACUGAGGCACGAAAGCGUGGGGAGCAAACAGGAUUAGAUACCCCUGUAGUCCCUGUCUCUUAUAC
rnacentral:rRNA from 1 species